CAGGAACUGAACUAGCAAACCAAUGCAGUUAGUAUCGGGGAGACUCAACCAUUAGGUCUUCAGCAGAAAAUUAACUGUGUAAAAUGUUGCUUAGGAGACAUGGUCGGGACCAGCAGAGAUUUUUAAUCAAUACGCUGCUUAAUGGAGCACAUAGAUUUUGAAGGCAGCACCAGAAUGUUCCUGCUUACAUCUUCUUAGUCUCAACCAGGAAUUUUGGCACUUGUUGUACUUCAGAUGUCCCUGUAGUGGAAAACCAACUUCAUAUAACAACAAUCCAAAAGGGCUUCCCCUUGUGACUGCCACCUGUUUCACAUUCUCCCCUGAGACUUAGUUGUUGCUGAGGCUUGAAAUGCCAGGGGUCCAGGCAUCCAUACAUACCCAACCUGGACGUAUGGAUGAGUUAGUGCACCACAGGCACAACCUUUAUUCAAUGAGAGGACAGUUGAUUCUUGGGGUGGGCAUGGUGGCACAGUGGGUUAAGUGGUCACUUGGGAUGCUUGCACUGCUUAGUCUAGUGCCUGGUUAAAGUCCCAGCUAGUCUACUUCCAGUAUAGCUUCUUGCUAAUGUACCUGGGAGACAGUACUGACGGCCUAGGUACUUGAGUUCCAGCCAUCCACAUAAGAGACCUGCAUGGAGUUCCUUGGCUGUCUUUCCUCGUCUCUCUCUGUCAUUCUGCCUUUUAAAUAAAUAGUCUUUAAUAUUAUUGAUUCUCCUUCUAUGCCUCAGUUUCCUUUUCUCCUCACUCCUCUUCUCCUGGAUUUCACUUCCUGUUACCCAUAAGCUUUUGCUUCAGGCUUUACUUUUUGGAGAACACAAGUCAAGAUGUAGCUUUGCGGUGGACCAACUCAGCAAAUGUAUUUAUCAAGAUGCUUUCAGUGACAAAUUGAGAAAAAAAGCAAAUGAAGAGAUACUGGGAAAUGUAUGAGCUUAUGCAAUAAGAAGACUAGACUUCAGCAUGGAUGACCCAGAUCAAGAGACAAAACCUGGACUCGGAUUCCAAUGUUUUUACCUGCCUAUCCAUGCCUCUAAGCCCCAAAGGAAGUCAGAGAAGCCAUCAACACCCAAGUGCAGAGAAGAGUCAUCCCUGGGAGACAUCAAGAGGGGCUCUAACCCACAUGUUACACACUGAGUGCUGCCUCCAUUCUGAAAUUUGGGAUAGCCUCAACUAAUUCCUUCUGUUUGUUCUUAGAGUAAAAGCAGCUGAUACAUGGACCUAAUGAUGAAUGUGGAAAAGGAAGCACACAGGUGUUUACUUAAGAAAAUGAGU
rnacentral:lncRNA from 1 species